UACAGAGGUCUCGAGCGUUGUUCGGAUUCAUUGGGCGUAAAGGGCGCGUAGGCGGCGGGGUAAGUCUGGUGUGAAAUCUCGGAGCUCAACUCCGAAACUGCACUGGAUACUGCUCUGCUAGAGGGCUGGAGAGGAGAUCGGAACUCACGGUGUAGCAGUGAAAUGCGUAGAUAUCGUGAGGAAGACCAGUGGCGAAGGCGGCGACCUGGGUAGAUACUGACGCUGAGGCGCGAAAGCGUGGGGAGCAAACAGG
rnacentral:rRNA from 1 species